rnacentral:rRNA from 1 species
AUUGAACGCUGGCGGCAGGCCUAACACAUGCAAGUCGAGCGAGCGGCGGACGGGUGAGUAAUGUCUGGUAAACUGCCUGAUGGAGGGGGAUAACUACUGGAAACGGUAGGUAAUACCGCAUACCAUCAGAUGUGCCCAGAUGGGCUUAGCUAGUAGGUGGGGUAACGGUUAACCUAGGCGACGAUCCCUAGCUGGCCUGAGAGGAUGACCAGCCAAACGGGAACUGAGACACGGUCCAGACUCCGACGGGAGGCAGCAGUGGGGAAUAUGGCACAAUGGGCGAAAGCCUGAGACAGCCAUGCCGCGUGUGUGAAGAAGGCCUUCGGGUUGUAAAGCACUUUCAGCGGGGAGGCGUUACCCGCAGAAGAAGCAACGGCUAACUCCGUGCCAGCAGCCGCGGUAAUUC